UCUCGGCUUAUCACCGGCAGUCCCCUUAGAGUGCCCAACUGAAUGCUGGCAACUAAGGGCGAGGGUUGCGCUCGUUGCGGGACUUAACCCAACAUCUCACGACACGAGCUGACGACAGCCAUGCAGCACCUGUGUAAUGGUUCUCUUUCGAGCACCCUCAAAUCUCUCCGAGGUUCCAUCCAUGUCAAGGGUAGGUAAGGUUUUUCGCGUUGCAUCGAAUUAAUCCACAUCAUCCACCGCUUGUGCGGGUCCCCGUCAAUUCCUUUGAGUUUUAAUCUUGCGACCGUACUCCCCAGGCGGUCAACUUCACGCGUUAGCUUCGUUACUGAACAGCAAGCCGUCCAACAACCAGUUGACAUCGUUUAGGGCGUGGACUAC
rnacentral:misc_RNA from 1 species